rnacentral:rRNA from 1 species
GUCGAACGCUGGCGGCGUGCCUAAUACAUGCAAGUCGAACGCAGUGGGGACGGGUGAGUAACAAGUGGGUAACCUCCCAUCAGAGGGGAUAACACUUGGAAACAGGUGCUAAACCGAUAUUGAAGGAUGGUCCUGCGGUGCAUUAGCUAGUUGGUGGGGUAACGGCUCACCAAGGCCACGAUGCAUAGCCGGCCUGGGAGGGUGAUCGGCAACACUGGGACUGAGACACGGCCCAGACUCCUACGGGAGGCAGCAGUGGGGAAUAUGCGACAAUGGACGAAAGUCUGACCGAGCAACGCCGCGUGGAUGAAGAAGGUUUUCGGGUCGUAAAGCUCUGUUGUUAGGGAAGCGGUAUCGAACCAGGAAGCCACGGCUAACUACGUGCCAGCAGCCGCGGUAAUUC